UACGUAUGGUGCGAACGUUGUUCGGAAUCACUGGGCAUAAAGAGCACGUAGGCGGUUGAGCAAGUCCAUUGUGAAAUCCCCCGGCCUAACCGAGGAACUGCAUUGGAUACUACUUGACUUGAGUGCAGGGGGGGAGAGUGGAAUUCCAGGUGGAGCGGUGAAAUGCGUAGAUAUCUGGAGGAACGCCGGCGGCGAAAGCGACUCUCUGGUCUGUAACUGACGCUGAGGUGCGAAAGCUAGGGGAGCAAACGGG
rnacentral:rRNA from 1 species